AUUGAACGCUGGCGGCAGGCUUAACACAUGCAAGUCGAGCGAGCGGCGGACGGGUGAGUACCACGUGGUAACCUACCUUAGACAUUGGGAUAGCCUCGGGAAACCGGGAUUAAUACCGAAUAUGCUAAGAUGGACUCGCGUCCCAUUAGCUAGUUGGUGAGGUACCGGCCCACCUAGGCGACGAUCCCUAGCUGGUCUGAGAGGAUGAUCAGCCACACUGGGACUGAGACACGGCCCAGACUCCUACGGGAGGCAGCAGUGGGGAAUAUUGCACAAUGGGCGCAAGCCUGAUGCAGCCAUGCCGCGUGUAUGAAGAAGGCCCUAGGGUUGUAAAGUACUUUCAGUCGGGAGGCGUUACCGACAGAAGAAGCACCGGCUAACUCCGUGCCAGCAGCCGCGGUAAUAC
rnacentral:rRNA from 1 species